UGAAUCAUAACAGAAAGUAAAGACAGAGCAGUGUAACAUAAAAUAGUCAAGGAUACAACUAGCCAAUGUUAUAGAAACUAGUUAAACCAACUAAAAAGCAUGGCAAUGUAAAGACAGAAUAAUGAGAAACAAAUCAAGAGAACUAAUAAAGCAUGGGAUAUCAAGCAACUGUUCUACCCAUGUCAUUGAGUGGUUAAAUUUUAUUGACGUCUUUUACAGAUUUUUGCGUGAAACCCUUCUAACUUAUAUCAACUGAGGAAAAAAGGGAUCCCCAACUAUAACUGUGAAUGGGCAAAUAGAUUCAUUUUCAUAUCAGAUAAUUUCAUAGAUAAACUAAUGACUAUGAGUGUACUUCACCACUAUAGCUCCUAUAGAUCAUAUUGCGAAUUCACUUCUCGUGAGAGGGAAUGCUAAUACGAUUCAUAGGGAGUGAUUCACCAAUAGAUUCAAAUAUAGAUUCAGGUAUAGAAGCACAAAUUUAGAAUGCAGUGGGAUUCCAAUAACAUAUCUCGCCCUAAAGAGCCACUAUACCCAUAGUUGCGAUCAAGUCAUCUUCUCGAGUUGAGGCCCAAUAGAAUGACCCUCUCU
rnacentral:lncRNA from 1 species